rnacentral:rRNA from 1 species
AGGGCACCACCAGGAGUGGAGCCUGCGGCUUAAUUUGACUCAACACGGGGAAACUCACCCGGCCCGGACACCGUAAGGAUUGACAGAUUGAUAGCCCUUUCAUGAUUCGGUGGUUGGUGGUGCAUGGCCGUUCUUAGUUCGUGGAUCGAUUUGUCUGGUUUAUUCCGAUAACGAGCGAGACUCUAGCCUACUAAAUAGUAUCGAGAUUAUUUCUGUCUCAGAUGCUUCUUAGAGGGAUUUUCGGUGUUUAGCCGCACGAGAUUGAGCAAUAACAGGUCUGUGAUGCCCUUAGAUGUCCGGGGCUGCACGCGCGCUACACUGGCGAAAUCAGCGUGCUUUAUCCAUUCUCGAAAGGGAUUGGUAAACCCAUGAAAAUUUGCCGUGCUUGGGAUCGGAAAUUGCAAUUAUUUUCCGUGAACGAGGAAUUCCAAGUAAGUGCGAGUCAUCAACUCGCUCUGAUUACGUCCCUGCCCUUUGUACACACCGCCCGUCGCUGCCCGGGACUGAGCCAUUUCGAGA